GGGUCAGUAGGUUGGUCGUGCCACCGGUACGUACUGGUCUCACUGAUUCCUCCUUCCUGAAGAACCGUAACGCCAUUAAUUUGGUGUUGCGGGGAAACAGGACCGUUACUUUGAAAAAAUUAGAGUGUUUAAAGCAAGCCAACGCUUGAAUACAUUAGCAUGGAAUAAUGAAGUAGGACGAUCGAUCCUAUUUUGUUGGUUUCUAGGAUUGACGUA
rnacentral:rRNA from 1 species